AAGAGUCUCUCUUUCCUUGUCUAAGCUACAAAUGAUACAAACCAAAGACGUAUGACGUAGCUAUAUUAAUAUUAUGUGAUACAUGACAGAAGCUCGAAACAAACGACAAUCGAUGAAAAGCCCUAUUAGCAUAGAGAGAGUGUCAUUCAGAGCGAAGUGACGACACCAUCUUUUUUAUUUGGAUUAGUGCUGUUUCACUCUUACGCAUAGUAAAGCUGCUACAGUUGUCCUCCUCUUCCGUGCCUAUAUUCACACUGAAUGUCAUCAUAGAUUUUCGAUACAAUGUGUUAGAAAGAGAUGCAGCAAACCAGUCCAUGAGAUCUUGUCGUCAGGAAUCGCGGAAGAUUUUUUAAGAUGAGUUUCGAAAAGCAACUCUAGCAUAUCUUGAAAAGCUGCAUGCGGAAUUUCUCUCUGAUUCUGAGCCAGAAGCUGAACCUGACGAUGAUGAUGCUAGUUUGGAAGGAGAUUAUGAAGAAGGACAGGACCACGAUAUACCGAGAUAGAAGAAGACAUUGAGGAGAGAAUCUUAGAAUCUCGGAAGACAGCAGCGAAGAUUGACUUAUUUCCGUUCAUUCAUGUAUCUACUUUGCGCAGCUCAAACAUUUGUUUUUUAUUUAGUCAUUGUUUAGUUUCUUAGAAAUAAUUGUUUUGUAUUUUUUUAAUUUAGGUUUUUGCGAUUUAUAGGACUCAAAAUGUGAAAAGGAUAUAUCCGUUCACUUUUAUUUUUGAAGCAUGAGUCUAAGUGCAAGUUAUAAUAAAUUUGUUUGCAAAUGUU